AGCGAACGCUGGCGGCAGGCCUAACACAUGCAAGUCGAACGAACCCUUCGGGGUUAGUGGCGGACGGGUGAGUAACACGUGGGAACGUGCCCUUAGGUUCGGAAUAACUCAGGGAAAGUUGUGCUAAUACCGAAUGAGCUCUUCGGGGGAAAGAUUUAUCGCCUUUGGAGCGGCCCGUGUUUGAUUAGCUAGUUGGUUGGGGUAAUGGCUCACCAAGGCGACGAUCAGUAGCUGGUCUGAGAGGAUGAUCAGCCACAUUGGGACUGAGACACGGCCCAAACUCCUACGGGAGGCAGCAGUGGGGAAUCUUGCGCAAUGGGCGAAAGCCUGACGCAGCCAUGCCGCGUGAAUGAUGAAGGUCUUAGGAUUGUAAAAUUCUUUCACCGGGGACGAUAAUGACGGUACCCGGAGAAUAAGCCCCGGCUAACUUCGUG
rnacentral:rRNA from 1 species